rnacentral:rRNA from 1 species
UACGUAGGGUGCAAGCGUUAUCCGGAAUUAUUGGGCGUAAAGGGCGCGUAGGCGGUGCGGUAAGUCACCUGUGAAAUCUCCUGGCUCAACUGGGAGCUUGCAGGCGAAACUGCCGUGCUGGAGUGUGGGAGAGGUGCGUGGAAUUCCUGGUGUAGCGGUGAAAUGCGUAGAUAUCAGGAGGAACACCUGUGGCGAAAGCGGCGCACUGGACCACAACUGACGCUGAGGCGCGACAGCGUGGGGAGCAAACAGG